AUCCAGCUGACGAGUCCCGAAUAGGACGAAACGCGCGUCAAGCUGGAU
rnacentral:hammerhead_ribozyme from 1 species